GGAGAGAUGGCUCAGUGGUUAAGAGCACUGGCUGCUCUUCCAGAGGUCCUGAGUUCAAUUCUCAGCACCC
rnacentral:tRNA from 1 species